rnacentral:rRNA from 1 species
GCCAUGCAUGUCUAAGUAUAAACUGCUUUAUACUGCGAAACUGCGAAUGGCUCAUUAAAUCAGUUAUAGUCUAUUUGAUGGUACCUUCCUACUCGGAUAACCGUAGUAAAUCUAGAGCUAAUACAUGCUAAAAUCCCGACUUCUGGAACGGACGAAUGGAUUAGUUAAAAGGAUUACCGGGUUUUCCCGACCUGCGGGGAAGGUGAUAACUUGAUUCAUCGCAUGGCCUUUGAUCCGGCGAUGUUUCAUUCAAUUGCUGCCCUAUUUCUGCCCUAUGGACUGAUAAAGGCCUACCAUGGGGGUACCGGGGGACGGACGAUUGAGGGUCGAUUCCGGAUAGGGACCCGGAAAAAAGCCUGCCACAUCCCUACAACGUCCCAGGAACGCAAAUUGCCCAAUCCUGACCCAAGCCGGAAGCGACGAGGAAUAACCAUACCGGGCCUUUGGGUCGGGUCCUUGAAAUGAUAACAAUUGAAAUCCCUUAUCGUUCAGAGAUCCCUUGGAAGGGCAAGUCAGGUAGCCGGCAACUCUGGUAGCUUCCAGCUCCAAAUAAUGUCAUAUUCCAAUUGCUGCUAUUAAUAAUUGCAUCGCAGUUGGAUUUCUGGUGAACCGAUUUCGGACGGCCCUGGUGAGCCCUGCCCUUCGGUUAACUUCGUUGCUGGGACCGGCGUCACUGGGCUUAUCCUCCCUCGACUCGGAGUCGAAUCUGCUACUUUUGAUCGGUUUACUAUUGUCCGGAAAUUAGAGUGUACAACUUGAGUCGAUAACUGGCCAUCGCAAAAUUUAAGCUGGAUACGACUCAAAACUAUAUCCUACUUCAUGUAUCGUGGGAUAGGACUGUAGCAUGAUCCGCUUGAUAGGAACAGAUCGGGGGCGUUCGGAAUUAGACUGUGGGGGCAUUUGUAUUUCUUUGUCAGGGGUGACAUUCUAUCUGCGACUAGCAACUGACCAAGUGAUUUUUUGAAAGUCUAUGCCAAGGGAUGAUGGCGGAUUGAUCGAAGAUCAGAGUUGUGGUAGGAAGACGAUUAGAUAUGCUCGGCCAGGGAACCAUGAUGUUUGCCUAGCGAUGGACUAUCCGGGGAUGUUGCAUUUUAAUGCCUCCGCUUCAGCACCUUGAUGGGGGGAGUACAGGUUUUUGCAAGGUUCCAGGGGGAGAAUAGGCGGUUUUGCAAGAAUGGCACCUCCAGGUCAGUGGACGGAAGGGCAUCCAGCCAGGCGUAGGAAGCGGGGAAAUCUAAUUUGACUCAGGACACGGGAAAGGAUUGACAGUCCAAACACUGUUUGGAUAUUCAGAUGGAGAGCUCUUUCUUGAUUUCUUAGGUGGUGGAGCAUGGCCGUUGGUUAAUUGUGGGAACCAACUCACCUUGAUUCCGGUAACGGUCACGACCUCCGGUCCGCAAAUAGUCAAAGUUGCAUUUCUCCGUUGGCAGAGGGAUAGAGGCACCCGCCAGUCUAUGGAAUGGAAGGCAAUAACAGGUCAGUUCUCCCUUCCCUGAGAUGUUCCGCACCGCCCUUACACUACGGAGUCCAUUAGAGUUUUUCUAUCCUUGGAUAAGAGGCCCGACCUCUCGAAACUCCGUCAUGAUGAGGGGGAUUCAUUACACAAUUGAUAGUGUUCGAGGAAUUAUGCGUAGUAAGGAGUAGUCAUCUCCCCCCGAUUACGUCCCCCCCGCCCGUACACACCGCCCGUCGCUCCUCCCGAUUGAACGGUCCGGCGAGAACUCCUGAUGGUCGGCACACAGGGGGCAAACCCUGUGUCCGUGCCAGAAGCUGAUCGAACCUCACCACCUAGAGGAAGGAG